AUUAUCUGUACCCAUUAUUUAAAAUAGUCUAAAACUCUGAUUCAACCCUAGAAUUACAUACUAAAACAAAAACAACGCUGCCACUGUGUCAGAGGAAGGACGAAAACGACGUUGUCACUGUGAUCUUCUCCGGCGGUGAUCUGCUCCGGCGACGAUCUUCUCCAGCGCCGAUCUCCUCUGACUAGAAUCUCCUCUCCAUCGAGAUUCUGUGUUGUGAACCGAAACUCUCUCCUUAUCUCCUUUAGUGACAAUCUCUCCAGCGAUAAUCUCCUAUGGCGAUGUUCUCCUCCGGCGGCGCGUUCUCCUCCUUCGUCAAGAUUUUCUCCAGAUCUAGAGACACAAUUCAAGCUGUGACAAAUUUUGCCAAACAGAAUACAUUGCCUAUUCUCAUGCAAGAACAGAUGAUUGCACAUUUUCAUAUGAAGUACAGAACUGAUAUAGAAGGGUUGCAGCAGCAAGAGAUCAUGUUUACAUUUGGAAAGGCUCGUGUACCAAUUAUUAAAUUUCUUGAAAAGAAAAGUGGGCUUGCAUUUGAUGUAAGGUAUUAUGUGCUUCCAUACUCAAUUCUUUAAAUAAACAAUGAAUUAGUAAAAGCUAAAGAAUUCUUUUUAUAUUUGUUAGUUAGAGUUUCUGUUACUUCAGUGGAUAUUAUUCUCCUUAUUCUUGGUUUUGAUUUGAUUCAGUGAUCUUAUUAUGGCUUAAUUGGUUCAAAAGGAAAAGUUUGUAUUCAAUAAGUUAGGUUGAAGUAAUUUCAUUUUGUUGGAGAGAAGAAAUGGAGGGAAGUGGGAACUGUCUUCAGGUUCUCAGCGACAACCACAAGUGCCUCUUUUGUGCUCAGGAAACACUACUGCAAUCUUCUUUACCAUUACGAACAAGUUCACUUCUUUAAUGUUAAAGGUCCUCUAUACUCUCCAUCAUCAGAUUCAGUUUCUGGCAGCAAGCACUCCUGGAGAUCUGAGCUAGCUAUUGUUGAAUAUUCUCCCAAGCCAGUGAACCAUACUAACAAGAAUAUUCUCAAUAUUCUCAAGGUAUAGUUGUAACAAGAAUGCAUAAAUGUCAAGAAUAUUCUCAAGGUAUUUCAUAAUUCAUAUUCCAUGCUUAAGAAUUAUUAUUUCAAUCAUAAUAUAAUUAUCAGACUUCGGUCUUGCUAGGGCAUUUUUUGGAGAUCAAUCUGAGGCCACAACAAAAAGAGUGAUAGGAACUUAGUUAGUAGGCUAAAAUAUUGUUUACUAGUUCAAGUUGCAACAUUUUUUCCUUCGAAAUUCUUAUGUGAUGCACUGAAUGCAAUGUAGUGGCUAUAUUUCUCCUGAGUAUGCAGUGCAGGGAUCCUUCUCAACGAAAUCUGAUAUGCAGGGAUCCUUCGGAAUUCUUAUGAAUUUGUGUGUGAUCAGUGUAUAAAUUUUUUUAUUUUCGUAUUGAUUCACAUAUCUUAUAGCGUAGUCUUUGGUGCUUUGUAUAUAAAUUUCUCUGCAAGAGACUACCAGAAGCAGUUAGAGCUUUGUCAUAACAGAAUUGCCAGCGUGGCAGCCAUUAUAACUAACUUAGGAGUGGAGUCUUAACUCAUAACAAUAUUCAACUGCAUGCUAGUUGUGCUAAUAACGGUUGAUAUGAUUAGUGUUCUUCACUCUCCAAGGCUUUUAAAGAGAUAAAUGAGGAAUCAAAGAUCCUCAGUCUGAGCAAUGAGUUUGUGAAACUGCUUGAUCUCUGGAAUGUUCACGAUCUAUUUGAUGAAUUGAUUCAGAGAGCUUCCGAAAUAUCAUUUCAAGAUGUGUUUUAUUCCUUUCAUAUGGACUUGUUCCACGCAGAAAAAAGGCCUUGGAAGACCAAAUAAUGGCUGACAUCAUUCGCCUCAACAGCUCUGCUUCCACGGUUUUCAACUUUGCAUCAAUAUUUUGAAUUUUUUAUACUGAUAUUUUGGCAUCCACAUCUUAGCAGUAUAAUAUUUGAGCAGCCAUCGUGCUAUAUUUUUAAUGAUAAUUAUUAAUUAAUAUUGGAACUUUAUAUCUUAAGCAACGGUGGUGUGCUUAUCUUAUGGAAUGUUAAAUUGCAGGUCAAGAUCGACGGUGACAAUUGGUAAGGAUGAAUUUUAUAAAAAGCAUGCAUGUUAGCUUAAUUAAGGUUUCUGCUAAAAAUGUUAAUAUAUAUAAACUAAUGUUCUCAAAUUUAGUACUAACGCAAAUAUAAUACAUUAUGCUUCCGUAGCUGAAUGCUAUAAUAAAAAAGAGUUCACAAAUAUAUAUAAACUAAUGCUAUAAUAAAUGUCCUAGAAUUAUUUUAUGCAAAGAAUUAUAAUUUCAAUCAUAAUAUGUGGUGUGGAUGCAGGAUAACAUAGAUGCUAUUGAAGAUGUUAUCUAUCACAUUGAAAUAACAAGUUUGUUUGAUAGAGGAAAAGAGUUUUCAAAUUUAAAGUGGCCCUUAAAAUUGUUUGUUUGAAUUAGGUUUUGUUUUUGAUUCCUUGGAGAAUGCCUUUGUUUGAGAGACAAGUGAGUGAAGUCUAAAUUUCACAUUUUCUUGUGGUGCAGAUAAGCAUCUCUUAGCGAGGCUGGCCUUUCCAAAAAUCAGAAAGGAUGUGCAGCUCAAGGUCAAAGAUGAAUACAACAGUUACAGAGAAAAAAUUAAUUUUCAAUGGAGUAUGUUCCAGGGAUUAAAAUAAACAAAAUACAAGCAUAUAGUUCUUAUAGAAAGAGCAUCUGGCUGCCAUUGGUAAAUCAUCUGGAUGUCAGAUUUGCGGAAUGAUCGACCCUCUACAACACAAUUUAAGGAUAAACUUCCAUGGUUUCUUAGUUCUCUGCCUUCUGCUGAUUGUGCAAAAGAAAUUCAAGAGAAUAAUGCGGGCAAUCUAGGGUGCUCUUAUUGUUGCUUCAACACUUCAAAUAGUACUAGGAUUUAGUGGCCUUUGGCGUAACGUUGCGAGAACUUGUAUUGCCAGCUCAUGGACCGUAAGCACUUAACCAGUUUAUCUUUGAUUAUGAAGAUGCAUAUAUACAACUACUUGAGAAGAAAAAGUUCACAAAGCCACUGUUACAGCCAUUGUAAUGUCGAAUUGGAUAAAUAGAUUCAAUAGCUACUGUCUUAAAACCUAUGAAUUUGUAUUGUGGAGUCAGUGACAUACACCAUUGUAACUCUUCAAUUGUGGUGUGUUUAACAAUAUUCUAUUAAUUUGCAUAUAUACAACUACUUGAUGUUUGAUUUA